AUUAUAGAGAGAGAGAGCCAUCUUUACACUCGUGCGCGGUGGAUAUUGACGAGGACUGCACAACGGCGGUGGUGACCAGUUCAUCCAUCAGCAGCGUGCCAAGAACACGGGUGUACCGCCUCGCGCACUCGCCGCCGAGACUGCACGCGCAAGGCACGCUGUUGGAGCGCGCAGAAUCGCCAGAGACGCGGAGUUUCAACGGCUCCUGGGACAGCCGGUCCGGCGACGGAGACGAUACCGAUUGCAGCGACACCGGCAUGCUUAUACGAGAAAACUCGCUAUCCGUCCACGACAUACCGCCCGCGCAGAUAUUCACGACGCGGCUGUCGUGCGGCGCGCCCGCCUACUGCUCGCUGUGGCG